AUUAUUAACCGCAAAGAAUUGAUUAAGCAGCUAUCAUCUAUUGGAGGAAAUAAUAUCAAAGACAUCACUUUUAAUCUUUUACGAGUGUUAAUGUCAGAUAAGUUAGCUUCUACAUUUAGUUAUGUUGGAGGAAAAAAAAACGGAUAUUUUAUGAUUUACAACUCCGAAAAAUUAUAUUUAAUGUUGUACGACUUCGAUUUGCAGAAGCAACUGAAUAUUGUAUUUCCGAGCCAAUCAAAUCUUGGUUACGACAUGCGAAUGAGCGUUAUCUAAAGAAAAAUAA